ACGUAGGUGGCAAGCGUUGUCCGGAAUUACUGGGUGUAAAGGGCGUGUAGGCGGGUUAUUAAGUCAGAUGUGAAAUUCCAGGGCUCAACCCUGGCGCUGCAUCUGAAACUGAUGAUCUUGAGUACUGGAGAGGGAAGCGGAAUUCCUAGUGUAGCGGUGAAAUGCGUAGAUAUUAGGAGGAACACCAGUGGCGAAGGCGGCUUUCUGGACAGUAACUGACGCUGAGGCGCGAAAGCGUGGGGAGCGAACAGGA
rnacentral:rRNA from 1 species